UACGUAGGGGGCAAGCGUUGUCCGGAUUUAUUGGGCGUAAAGAGCGUGUAGGCGGCCAGACAGGUCCGUUGUGAAAACUCGAGGCUCAACCUCGAGACGCCGAUGGAAACCGUCUGGCUAGAGUCCGGAAGAGGAGAGUGGAAUUCCCGGUGUAGCGGUGAAAUGCGCAGAUAUCGGGAAGAACACCUGUGGCGAAAGCGGCUCACUGGACCAUAACUGACGCUGAUGCACGAAAGCUAGGGGAGCAAACAGG
rnacentral:rRNA from 1 species